rnacentral:rRNA from 1 species
AGUGAACGCUGGCGGUAGGCCUAACACAUGCAAGUCGAACGGCAGCACAGUAAGAGCUUGCUCUUACGGGUGGCGAGUGGCGGACGGGUGAGGAAUACAUCGGAAUCUACUUUUUCGUGGGGGAUAACGUAGGGAAACUUACGCUAAUACCGCAUACGACCUACGGGUGAAAGCAGGGGAUCUUCGGACCUUGCGCGAUUGAAUGAGCCGAUGUCGGAUUAGCUAGUUGGCGGGGUAAAGGCCCACCAAGGCGACGAUCCGUAGCUGGUCUGAGAGGAUGAUCAGCCAAACUGGAACUGAGACACGGUCCCGACUCCUAAGGGAGGCAGCAGUGGGGAAUAUUGGAAAAUGGGCGGAAGCCUGAUCCAGCCAUACCGGGUGGGGGAAGAAGGCCUUCGGGUUGUAAAGCCCUUUUGUUGGGAAAGAAAAGCAGCAGGUUAAUACCCCGCUGUUCUGACGGUACCCAAAGAAUAAGCACCGGCUAACUUCGUG